UACAGGGGGUGCAAACGUUUGCUCGGAAUCAUUGGGCGUAAAGCGCACGUAGGCGGUUCGUUAUGUCGGAUGUGAAAGCCCUUGGCUUAACCGAGGAAGUGCAUCCGAAACUGGCGAGCUAGAGUACGAAAGAGGAUCGCGGAAUUCCCGGUGUAGAGGUGAAAUUCGUAGAUAUCGGGAGGAACACCGGUGGCGAAGGCGGCGACCUGGUCCUUGACUGACGCUGAGCGCGAAAGCGUGGGGAGCAAACAGG
rnacentral:rRNA from 1 species